rnacentral:rRNA from 1 species
GCAGGCGAGAAUACUCCACAAUGCACGUAAGUGUGAUGGGGGGAGUCUGAGUGAUGUACUUAGUACAUCUUUUGCCAAGUUUAGCCAGCUUGGAGAAUAAGUGCUGGGCAAGACCGGUGGCAGCCGCCACGGUAAUACCGGCAGCACAAGUGGUAUCCGCGAUUAUUGGGCUUAAAGCGUCAGUAGCUGGUUGAAACCGUCUUAUGUGAAAUAUUGGUGCCUAACACCAAUGCGGGCAUAAGAUACCUUUCAGCUAGGGAGUGGGCGAGGUCAAGAGUACUCAUGGGGUAGGGGUAAAAUCCUGUAAUCCUAUUAGGACUACCUGUGGCGAAGGCGCUUGACCAGAACACAUCCGACAGUGAGUGACGAAGGCUAGGAGAACGAAUCGGAUUAGAUACCCCCGUAGUCC